rnacentral:lncRNA from 1 species
CAUCAUCGUGUUACAUUCAAUCUUAUCAUUCAAAUUCAUUGGAACUAAUUAAGCAACUUACUGUCCAUAUUAAAACCAAACUAUUACACCAAUGUAACAAUUGUAUAUAAAAAAAAUGAUUUAAUUCAAACUACAAAGGGAACACCUAGCUAUAAAAAUAAGGAACAGGCAAUCAGUACAAAAUUUAUUGUCUCCUUUAUGACUAAUUUUUGGUGAUAGCGAUCGUAUACCGCUCUUUCAUUAGUUUAAUCCGAUAAAGCCAUAUCAAUUUGCAAAAAUAAUUACCUNNNNNNNNNNNNNNNNNNNNNNNNNAAUCUGCACAUUUAAGUUGACACCUUAAACUAAAGAUGACAAUGUUACCAACCGCCCCAUCUUUUACUCCCCAAAUUUCAUACACAGCAAUUAGCAGAACCCCACAUACCAUAUACAAGUAAAAUGUACAAAGGCUAUCGUGUAUAUGUGGACAAAGAUCAAUCUUGUGUUUUGUUUACUUAUUUACUACUUGUCUCCAUCAUCGUUCGUUGAUUAUCUGCCUUUUACCUUAACCUCCUUUUCUUUUUGUAUGCAAAACACGAAAUCGGCAACUUCAAUCUAGACGCAAGUAAAACUCAUGGAGCAAGAAAAAUAGAGAAGUAUCGGCUGAUGAUGUUACAAAAUAUAAGAAUGAGAGUUCAGGUUACAAGGGCAGAUCUAAAUUGGAAAACCAUUUAUGAGCGACAAUUAAGUUGACAAAGUUAAAGCCCACUAUUCAAAUCGUCCGCACCUUUGAGAGGGCAGUUCACAAAACAUACAUCAUGAACCACACAUAGACACAUCUGAAUUUCAUAGAAGAAUAAAGAAGAUGGAUUAAAAUAAAAAUCCUACAAGUUUAUAGAGGUAUGUACCUAAAUGCUUGGGCAACAGUACUCCAAAAAGAAACCAAAUGAAAGCAAGAAUGAAGGAUGGAGAUCAACAGAAACAGCACAGCAAAAUCGCAACGCAGCAACAAUACUCCCACACGUCUACAGAUAUUGAGAUUUAGACAGCAAAGUUGUAUUUUCUGUCCUCAAAUGCUUGAUCUGAGAAAGCAUGUCCUUCACAAAUCGAGCAGUUUCAUUUUGUCAGGCCCCGUACCUGGGGGCGAGACCGGCACCUAGUGCCUCACCUAUCCCUGCGUACCAACUUGCAACUAAGGGACUCUGAACAUAUGAUGUCAUACUUUAGCCAUAGGCCACAUUGCAAGAUAACUACGAAUGCUGACUAAAUGUCAAUAUAAAACUGGGCUGACAAGGCCGUCAUAACUAUUACAGCUGACAAACCAACCAAAUAUACAUACAACGCCUGCAAGUCCAACAUAUUGGACUAACUGACAGGAUAUGUCUACAAGCCUCUACUGAUGGAUGUACUAUGAUCGGAACAGCUCCCCGACCUACUCAUAACAUAUAUACAUAUAUAUACAAGAUGUAUAUAAGGCUCUAAACCUGGAAACUCCGAAAGGCAUGGAGCUUACUGAUCAAGCUGAACUUGGGCAAAACUUAUUGAAGAGGCCUACCCGUCUGUCUGUCUGACCUGCACCCAUGAAAUGCAGCGCCCCCAAAAAGGGACGCCAGUACGAAAUAAUGUACUGAGUAUGUAAGACAAUAUACUGAAAGCUGAAAUUGAACUGAUAAUAUAAUAACUGCAAGUAGCUGGAAGUCAAAAAUAAUCUGAAGAUAUGCUUAUCUGCUGAUACUGACUCAACUCUCUCAAUAUAGUAAGUAAAAUAGUUGUCCAGCCCUAUAAGGCUCGGUAUAUAUAUAACUGCUCUGCCGUAGUAGGCUCGCUCAUAGUCGCUCGACCAUACUAGGCUCUGUAUCUCGACCAAUUGGGCUCGCUCAUAAGCGCUCGACCACAGUAGGUUCGGUAUAUAUAUAUAACUGCUUCGCCGUAGUAGGCUCGCUCAUAGGCGCUCGACCAUACUAGGCUCUGUAUCUCGACCAACUGGGCUCGCUCAUAAGUGCUCGACCAUAGUAGGCUCGGUAUAUAACUUACCAUCUGAUUAGAGGUUGCCCAAUAGAGGCCUGCCCAUCGAUUAUAGCUCGAUGGUAAUGAAAAUACUUUAAUAAUGUAUAUAUAAAUUAUUUGCUCUCUUGACUAGAAGAAGGAAAUACUCAAUUGAAUAUGAAGCCCCGAUAAAGAGAAUAGUGUAACUUACAGAACUAGAAAAAUAUACAUAAAUUCUGGGAUAAGGAUUUUUCUUUAUGCUUCAUUUUUCAAACGCGUGUAAUUACGAGAUCAUGUCAAAAUGAAAGAAAGGUCUAGCCUUAACAUACCUGAGUCGAUUCUCUUGACAAUCCCUCUAACAUACAUUAAUUGCGACAAAAUACGGAACAAAUCAUAUGAAAAGCUUGAAGCAAGUACAAAUUCUCGGAAGAAAAUGACCCGGAACACUGACGAAACCUAACCCGGCUAGGAUAGCAGUGGAACUUGACAAACACCCGAGAAAUUGCACAACCAACUUUAGUCAGUACCACACAAAUUCCAUCACAGAGAACCUUUUUCCAACAUUGGCUAAUGAAUUUUGACUUGGUACCACAUGGGAAGCCUCACAAAACAGUAUAAUAUCGUAGUACUGAUGCUCAUGCUUUCUUAUGCAAAUUUGCUAGAAAGAAAGAAGAGGUCUUUUAACGUUGAAGAAUUAUCCCUUAUUAACUUUUGAGGCACUGCUCACAAAAGCAUUUCUUAUAAGUAAAAAAAUG